rnacentral:pre_miRNA from 1 species
CGAGGGUUAAAUGUUUUGGUAUUUUAAUAGUGUCAAUCUCAAAGCAGAGAACUCUCGGU